rnacentral:rRNA from 1 species
AUUGAACGCUGGCGGCAUGCUUUACACAUGCAAGUCGAACGGCAGCGCGGGCUUCGGCCUGGCGGCGAGUGGCGAACGGGUGAGUAAUGCAUCGGAACGUGCCCAGUAGUGGGGGAUAGCCCGGCGAAAGCCGGAUUAAUACCGCAUACGACCUGUGGGUGAAAGCGGGGGACCGAAAGGCUUCGCGCUAUUGGAUCGGCCGAUGUCGGAUUAGCUAGUUGGUGGGGUAAAGGCUUACCAAGGCGACGAUCCGUAGCUGGUCUGAGAGGACGACCAGCCACACUGGGACUGAGACGCGGCCCAGACGCCUACGGGAGGCAGCAGUGGGGAAUUUUGGACAAUGGGGGCAACCCUGAUCCAGCCAUGCCGCGUGCGGGAAGAAGGCCUUCGGGUUGUAAACCGCUUUUGUUCGGGAAGAAAUACUCUGGGCUAAUACCCCGGGGGGAUGACGGUACCGGAAGAAUAAGCACCGGCUAACUACGUG